CUUCGGCCAAAUGAAGGGAAUGCUUAGUGGCGGACGGGUGAGUAACGCGUGAGUAACCUGCCUUUCAGAGGGGGACAACAGUUGGAAACGACUGCUAAUACCGCAUAACAUGUACGGACCGCAUGAUCUGUACAUCAAAGAUUUAUCGCUGAAAGAUGGACUCGCGUCUGAUUAGCUAGUUGGCGGGGUAACGGCCCACCAAGGCGACGAUCAGUAGCCGGACUGAGAGGUUGAACGGCCACAUUGGGACUGAGAUACGGCCCAGACUCC
rnacentral:rRNA from 1 species